AUGGAGUCAAUCAAAUAUUUCUGAAUGAUAGAGUUCUGCUUAACGAUAUCUAUGAGAAGAUCACUUGGCUGUAUAGAAUGCAACCAAGUAUUGUAAUAGCAGACUAGUUUUCAUUCUGUUCAUGAGAUGUAAUGAAAUGAGCAACACCUCUCGCGCUCCCUAGCAAUUGAUGGACUCCGUAAUCUUGUUUAACAGACUCCAAACGGGACUUAAAGACUGUUGUUUUGAUAAUCUAUAUAAUCUACUUAAAGGUCUGUUAGAAGCAUACCAAUCAACCGGAUAUAUGAUCUAACUGAAAGACAUUUAUCUAAAUGAUUUGACUUAGUCUGUUCAUGAGAGGUCUGUUGGAAGCAUACCAAGCAACCAGAUAAAUGGUCUAAUUGAAUUAUUACCCAAACAUUGGGUCUUAGUACGGUUAUACUUAUUACAGCCGUCACACAGCACUUUCAGACGGAUGUUAUAAUAACAAAUUCGGUAGAAGAUCAUUGGAAGGAAAGAACGCAACCAAGCAAAAUAAUAGCAGAUUUGUUAAGACAAUGCUUGGGGCGUGAGAUGUGAAGGACAUGUCGUUACCAUAGAUGCAUUCAAUGCUUUAAAGGGAUCUUUAUAGAAUGCCUAGUUGUACAGAGAAGUUAAAAACGUCAGAUUUAUGCAGAUGUAGUUGAAUCUUGUAUGGAAUAUGAUUUACUACUAAAUCACAAUAUCUGCAAAACUGUAUGCAUGUAUCAAAAUUUAUUUUAACAAUAGUAUGAAAGAUAUUGGAUAGUUUACUCGCCAUAUGUCACGUCUAUCAUAACUUAUCACAACUGAUUUGUUAAUGUCGCACGUCGAUGUUACUACAUACAAGUAAACAGUAUUUGGACUCUAUAUAUCAAAAGUUUUCUUUCCUUCUCUUUUUUCCUGACGAUUCAUUUUUCUUUGUUAAAAACAUUGUUAUCUAGAUAACAAGCUUAAACAAACCAGUAAAAUAUUUGUACAGCCUUCCACAUGUUACAUUGGGGUUUUAUUAUUAUUAUUUUCUGGUCACAUUACAACGAAUAAUGACUGGAUAAUCACGUAGUAUUCUUAUCUAUCUCAAUGUCAACACUGAUUUUCUUUCAUACAAUUUAAGUAAACUCUCUGCAAACCAGAUAACUCCUAUUUUCCAAAAAUAAAUACGCCUAUUUUCUAUAUUUAGCUUGUACUUUCCAACACGGAAGUUAUUUAAACGUCAAAUACCUAUUCAUAAAUCAUUAGCAUUGAAAUUUGAAUAUCUAACGUUUGCUUUCCACUGGAAAAUAUUCUGUCUCGGGACUAACAUUAAAACAGACAACUUGGUGGCGCAGCGAAUGGAAUGGCAGGCAAAAAUAAACUAUAUCGUCUUCUACGGGAUGAUGAAAACCCGUUGCUAUGUGGAAUAACAGCUAAAAUUCCUUUAGCGACUGAAACUCCAAUGAACCAUAUUCGUCAUGGGUCAAGACAAAGUUCACAAUGGAUCUCAACCUCAAGAAAACUUUCUGAUGUUGACAAAUUUAUAAGACUUAAGAGAAAGACAGAAGGAGCGUGUGUAAGAUGUAGAGUUGUAGAAAUAGAUGAAAUAAAGGUGCGCUGGUACGCAGAGAUGGGCUGGUAUAGAUUUCAACAACUUGUUCAAACAUUUAUCGGAACAAAUACUACAUAUCUAUUUUGUCAGUUCAUGCAACAGACGACGGGUCAAAUAUUAGAUUUUACCGACCAAAGAGUUAUGGACGCGUAUAUCUCAUCAGUUCUAUCCGGACAAGAAGACAAAAAAGCACGACGUUUUGCAAAGAACUAUAGCGAGGUUCUUGUUGAACGCUUUAUCCCCGCAGAUUGUUGUGUUGCUAUAUAUCACAGGUAAACUCAGCAAUACAACAAUAUAUUCUUAUGAUUAUCGGAAUGAGAAAUUUGUUGCAAAGUCAUUUCAGUGUUGAAUUAAUCAAACCGAGCCUGCAACAUUUUCGUUUUUGUCGUGUUGAGCGAUCUGUGAAGUUUCCACUUUUCUCUAUUUUCCUAUGCCAUUUUGUACUGACCACCUGAAAUCAGUAGAUGUAUUAUAAUAUGUUUGAUAUACACUGCAUUUCAACGUUUACAUUUCAGUAUGAAUAUUUGUUAUUUAUUUUAAUUUUUAUGAGUGUUUAGAAAUUGUUAGAGAUCAUACAUGUGAUAGAUACUACGUAUCUUAAAACGCAUCCUCUGUAUUUUCUGAAUGUUUUGUUGACUCAUGUAUUUUAACUAACAUAUAAUACAUAUCAUCACAGUUUAUUAUAAUUUAUGAAUGUGAAUCAUGUACUGACAUUAAGGUUUAUGGGGAAUAUCUUCUUCUUCUUCGCCAUGUCAUAUAAUAAAUAUUCAUACACUUUUAAGACUUUCUUUAAUAUAAACAAAGGAAGAUUUUACAGUGUAUUGUCUUGUCGAUUUAAACACGUUUUUCAAAAUGA